GAUGAACGCUAGCGGCAGGCUUAACACAUGCAAGUCGAGGGGCAGCAUACCCGGUGACGGGUGAUGGCGACCGGCGGAAGGGUGAGUAACGCGUGAGCAACAUACCCGUAUCAGUGGGAUAAUACAGGGAAACUUGUUCUAAUAUCACAUAAUAUUAUUCAGAGGCAUCUUUGGAUAAUUAAAGUUCAGGCGGAUACGGAAUGGCUCGCGUGACAUUAGCUAGAUGGUAGGGUAAAGGCCUACCAUGGCUAUGAUGUCUAGGGGUUCUGAGAGGGAGGUCCCCCACACUGGAACUGAGACACGGUCCAGACUCCUACGGGAGGCAGCAGUGAGGAAUAUUGGACAAUGGAUGAAAAUCUGAUCCAGCCAUGCCGCGUGCAGGAAGGCGGCCCUAUGGGUUGUAAACUGCUUUUGUACGGGAGCAAUAAGGUCUACGAGUAGAUUGAUGAGAGUACUGUACGAAUAAGCAUCGGCUAACU
rnacentral:rRNA from 1 species